rnacentral:rRNA from 1 species
AGGACGAACGCUGGCGGCGUGCUUAACACAUGCAAGUCGAGCGCGCCUGCUCUUUGGGGUGGGUGAGUGGCGAACGGGUGAGUAACACGUGGGUGACCUGCCCUCAGCUCUGGGAUAAGCCUGGGAAACUGGGUCUAAUACCGGAUAGGACCUCAUGUUUCAUGGUGUGGGGUGGAAAGUUUUCGGCUGGGGAUGGGCCCGCGGCCUAUCAGCUUGUUGGUGGGGUGAUGGCUUACCAAGGCUUCGACGGGUA